rnacentral:rRNA from 1 species
UCGGGUUGUAAACCUCUUUCAGCAGGGAAGAAGCGCAAGUGACGGUACCUGCAGAAGAAGCACCGGCUAACUACGUGCCAGCAGCCGCGGUAAUACGUAGGGUGCGAGCGUUGUCCGGAAUUAUUGGGCGUAAAGAGCUUGUAGGCGGUUUGUCGCGUCUGCCGUGAAAAUUCGAGGCUCAACCUCGAACUUGCGGUGGGUACGGGCAGACUAGAGUGUGGUAGGGGAGACUGGAAUUCCUGGUGUAGCGGUGAAAUGCGCAGAUAUCAGGAGGAACACCGAUGGCGAAGGCAGGUCUCUGGGCCACUACUGACGCUGAGAAGCGAAAGCAUGGGGAGCGAACAGGAUUAGAUACCCUGGUAGUCCAUGCCGUAAACGUUGGGAACUAGGUGUGGGUCUCAUUCCACGAGAUCCGUGCCGCAGCUAACGCAUUAAGUUCCCCGCCUGGGGAGUACGGCCGCAAGGCUAAAACUCAAAGGAAUUGACGGGGGCCCGCACAAGCGGCGGAGCAUGCGGAUUAAUUCGAUGCAACGCGAAGAACCUUACCAAGGCUUGACAUAUGCGAGAACGCGGCAGAGAUGUCGUUCUCUUUGGACACUCGCAUACAGGUGGUGCAUGGUUGUCGUCAGCUCGUGUCGUGAGAUGUUGGGUUAAGUCCCGCAACGAGCGCAACCCUCGUUCUAUGUUGCCAGCACGUGAUGGUGGGGACUCAUAGGAGACUGCCGGGGUCAACUCGGAGGAAGGUGGGGAUGACGUCAAAUCAUCAUGCCCCUUAUGUCUUGGGCUUCACGCAUGCUACAAUGGCCGGUACAAAGGGCUGCGAUACCGCGAGGUGGAGCGAAUCCCAAAAAACCGGUCUCAGUUCGGAUUGGGGUCUGCAACUCGACCCCAUGAAGUCGGAGUCGCUAGUAAUCGCAGAUCAGCAACGCUGCGGUGAAUACGUUCCCGGGCCUUGUACACACCGCCCGUCAAGUCACGAAAGUCGGUAACACCCGAAGCCGGUGGCCCAACUCUUUGAGAGGGAGCCGUCGAAGGUGGGACUGGCGAUUGGGACUAAGUCGUAACAAGGUAGCCGUACCGGAAGGUGCGGCUGGAUCACCUCCUUUCUA